rnacentral:rRNA from 1 species
GUAAAGGAUGGGCAUGCGUGACAUUAGCUAGUUGGAGAGGUAACGGCUCACCAAGGCUACGAUGUCUAGGGGUUCUGAGAGGAAGAUCCCCCACACUGGUACUGAGACACGGACCAGACUCCUACGGGAGGCAGCAGUGAGGAAUAUUGGUCAAUGGGCGAGAGCCUGAACCAGCCAUCCCGCGUGCAGGAAGAAUGCCCUAUGGGUUGUAAACUGCUUUUUCGCAUGAAGAACAUUCCAGACGUGUCUGGGACUGACGGUAAUGCGUGAAUAAGCACCGGCUAACUCCGUGCCAGCAGCCGCGGUAAUACGGAGGGUGCAAGCGUUAUCCGGAUUUAUUGGGUUUAAAGGGUGCGUAGGCGGUGAUUUAAGUCAGUGGUGAAAUCCUGCAGCUCAACUGUAGAACAGCCAUUGAAACUGAAUUACUUGAGUGAUCUUGAGGUAGGCGGAAUGUGUAGUGUAGCGGUGAAAUGCUUAGAUAUUACACAGAACACCGAUUGCGAAGGCAGCUUACUAAGGAUUUACUGACGCUGAUGCACGAGAGCGUGGGGAUCAAACAGGAUUAGAUACCCUGGUAGUCCACGCCGUAAACGAUGAUAACUCGCUGUUGGCGAUAUACAGUCAGCGGCUUAGCGAAAGCGUUAAGUUAUCCACCUGGGGAGUACGCUCGCAAGAGUGAAACUCAAAGGAAUUGACGG